rnacentral:misc_RNA from 1 species
AGAAAAACUAUAAACAAAAUACAAAAUGGCGGACAAGUAGGGCUUGUGACAUAAUGCGGAUAAAAACUACUCUUUAUGACGAUAUAGAAACAACAAACUAGUUCUAAAUCUUAAAAGAUUGUCACGCAAAAUUAUGGUCUUAAAGUAUUAGCGUUAUUUCGACAUGAAUAAUAUUCUANGCGGAUGUUGUGGACCAAACAAGACAGUUUUCCAGCCUGCACUAAGAAUGAGCCAGAGACUAUUUUGCAGUUUAUCACGUCCAAGGGUCGAUACUUACAGGCUCAACGCUGGCCUAAGGCAGAAAUGGAAGCAAAAAGAACAGCAAGGACUUGUUCAACUGAUACGAAACAGAAAUUUUGGUAGUUUUAGGGGAAUUUUUGCGAAGCCGGGGACAAGAUUGCAACUGCCUCCAGUUUUGUGUUAUUCUUUAUACCCAUUACUAAGAAAAGGAGAUAUUCGUUAUGGUUUUUCAAAGCUAUUUUCAACAAGUUUUUGCAGAGCUCAAAACAAUGAAGACGAAAAGAAAAAAGAGAAUGAGCCAAAGCUAGGUGAGGACCCAAAUCAAGGUGGCUGGAUCCAGAUCCUUCCAUGGAUUAUCCUAGCAGCAUUUUAUCUACUUACAGCAGGAACAGAUCCUACACCAGAAACAACAUGGUUGGCAUUUUAUAGAGAGAUGCUUACCAAUGGAGAGGUGGAGCGUCUCGAAAUACCUGCAUCUCAGGACAAAGUGUACGUGUAUUUACACCGAGGGGCAAUAGUGGCUGGAAAAGAGGUUUUCUCUUAUGGUCCACACUAUGUGUUCAGUAUAGCAAGUCUGAAUAGUUUUGAACAGAAAAUGCACCAAGCUCAACUAGAACUCAAGAUUCCUCCACAAGAAUACAUUCCGAUCAAAUACAGGGCACAGAAUGAGCUUCUGUCCAGUUUAGUUGGAGCAGCAACAGCUGUGGCUUUCAUUGGUAUAGUCUGGUACUUGAUUGUUGGCCGAAGAGCGCCUGGAGGGGGGCGUAAAGGAGGCAUCAUGGGAGCCAACCCCUUUUCCAGCUACAUCAAGGCCAAAGCAACGGUCAUAAUGCCAGGAAAAAGCCAGGGAGUCACGUUUAAAGAUGUUGCUGGAAUGGAAGAGGCAAAGAAAGAAGUCAUGGAAUUUGUGGAUUACUUGAAGUCUGCUACAAGAUACAGUCGUCUUGGAGCCAAGAUACCAAAGGGUGCACUUCUAGUUGGUCCUCCUGGUACCGGAAAGACUCUCUUAGCCAAAGCUGUCGCUUCAGAAGCUGAGGUACCCUUCCUUUCCAUGGCGGGCUCAGACUUCGUAGAAAUGUUUGCAGGUGUUGGUUCUGCUAGAGUCAGAGAUUUGUUUGCAAGAGCCAGGAAACUAUCACCGUGUAUUGUCUAUAUCGAUGAAGUGGAUGCUAUUGGAAGAUCUAGAAAAUCUAGUCAGGCGAUGGGUGGUCACAAUGAACAAGAAAAUACUCUAAACCAACUUUUAGUGGAAAUGGAUGGAAUAAAUACCGUAGAAGGCGUAGUUAUGUUGGCCUCGACAAACAGGGCAGACAUAUUGGACCAGGCUUUACUGCGUCCAGGUCGCUUUGAUCGCUACAUUGCUAUUGACCUACCAACCUUGCCUGAAAGAAUAUCCAUAUUUGAAGUUCACCUGAAAAAGUUGACUCUAAGGAAUUCGUUUAAGAGUUAUUCCAGACGGCUGGCUGAGCUGACUCCUGGAUAUAGUGGUGCUGACAUUGCCAACAUCUGUAAUGAAGCUGCCCUUCACGCUGCUAGACUUAAUGAAAAAUCCGUGGAUUCCAAGAACUUUGAAUAUGCCGUGGAAAGAGUCAUUGCUGGAAUGGAAAAGAGAAGCAAUACCAUAACUCCCCAAGAACGAGAAACCCUUGCUUUCCAUGAAGCAGGUCACGCCUUAGUAGGAUGGAUGUUGGAGUACACUGAUCCAUUACUCAAGGUUUCUAUCGUCCCUCGUACGAACUCUACACUUGGUUAUGCUCAGUAUCUACCAUCUGAUCAGAAACUGUACACCACAGAACAGCACUUGGUGGACGGGCAGCGGAAAGUAAAAUAUUCAGGAGAAUAACCACCGGAGCUGAAGACGACUUGCGUAGAGUUACAGAUAUGGCAUACAGACAAAUCGUUACCUUUGGAAUGAAUGACCGCGUGGGCAACAUAUCAUUUCCCGUGAAGAGAUCAUCAGAGCUGGGCAAGAAGCCAUACAGUGAUAAGUU